AAUAUUGCGCAAUGGAGGGAACUCUGACGCAGCAACGCCGCAUGAGCGAAGAAGGCCUUCGGGUCGUAAAGCUCUGUCAUAAGGGAAGAAGUCUCUCGAAUGAGAGGUGACGGUACCUUAAGCGGAAGCCCCGGCUAACUACGUGCCAGCAGCCGCGGUAACACGUAGGGGGCAAGCGUUGUCCGGAAUUAUGGGGCGUAAAGGGCGUGUAGGCGGUUAAUUAAGUCAGGUGUGAAAACCCGGGGCUCAACCCCGUGAUUGCACCUGAAACUGGUUAACUUGAGGGCAAGAGAGGAAAGUGGAAUUCCUAGUGUAGCGGUGAAAUGCGUAGAUAUUAGGAGGAACACCAGUGGCGAAGGCGACUUUCUGGCUUGACCCUGACGCUGAGGCGCGAAAGCGUGGGGAGCAAAC
rnacentral:rRNA from 1 species